UUACUCCUACGGGAGGCAGCAGUAGGGAAUCUUGCGCAAUGGGGGAAACCCUGACGCAGCAACGCCGCGUGAGUGAGGAAGGUCUUCGGAUUGUAAAACUCUUUUAUCAGGGAAAAAUGUCUUAGUGGUUAAUACCCAUUAGGAGUGAUGGUACCUGAGGAAUAAGCACCGGCUAACUUCGUGCCAGCAGCCGCGGUAAUACGAAGGGUGCAAGCGUUAUUCGGAAUCAUUGGGCGUAAAGCGCGCGCAGGCGGAUUGAUAAGUCAGGUGUGAAAUCUCGAAGCUCAACUUCGAAACUGCGCCUGAAACUAUUAGUCUAGAAUGUCGGAGGGGGCAGGGGAAUUUCACGUGUAGGGGUAAAAUCCGUAGAGAUGUGAAGGAACACCGGGGGCGAAGGCGCCUGCCUGGACGACUAUUGACGCUGAGGCGCGAAAGCGUGGGGAG
rnacentral:rRNA from 1 species